UAUAGUAGUAAACAAAAACAGAAAAAAAUUCCAAACAAAGAACUGACUCUGAUAUGUUUACAACAAAAAUAUUGUUUACUAUUUUAAAAACUAAAUUGAGUAAAAUAUUGUGAUUUAGACUAUAAAAGAAAUUCUCACAGAAUUCAACUCCUCCAGUCAAUACUUUUCUUAAUGUCUGCAUUGCCAUUUAGCAUUUUACAUGUGGGAGUACACAAAUGAUUUGAAUAUUGGAUCAGAAUUUCCCCUAACUUGAAGAGUAAAAAGUUAUCCAAGUUUCACCUUACAUGGCUUUACUGAAAUAAUAACUUUCCAUGGAAAAUUCCAAUAAAAAUUGGAAUAUAUUAUGAGCACUGCCGAUUGCUCAUUUUGUCUGAGUAUUCACAGAUUAUGCAUUUCCUCAGAGAAGCAGCAGGCCCCAUGUAUACACACAUAUAUAUGGCUCUGGUUUGAAAGAGAAGACAAUUUCAUCUAGUAUUAUAAUUUAUCAUUGUGCUAUCAAUCAAAAAAUAAGAAACACAACAAAAACAACAUUGAAAGGGAAAAAACUUCAAAUCUCACAUCUUCAAGGAAUAUUUUCUACAGCAUAUCAUUUGAAAAAUUAGAAUGAAUACUGUUCAUUGUCCACAUGUAUUA